GCCGUCAUGGGAGGAGCGCAGCCAGGCGGAGAAAAGUCGGAAAACAGAUUUAAACCAACGUGUGAACCGUUGCCUCGUUUUGUCAGUAUUGUGAGAAAACUUAAUUACCGAAGAAGCCUGGCUGUUAAAACAAGAUUUGAAGUUAUUUUUUGUCGAACAGGAAUGAGGCUGGACGCUGAACAUACCCGCAGCACGAAGCUAAGGGUGUCUCCACCUCAUCCAUGAUCAGCAAGAUGUCAUCCAUGAUCGCAGAGACAUGGUCCAUGAUUGGAGAGACAUUGUCCACGAUCAUGAGACGUGUAGAAAAAUCGCAGUGACGGAGUUUCCCGAUUUGACGGCAUCAUCCGCGAUCAGAGAGACAUUGUCCGUGAUCACAGAGAGUCUUUGUACAAUGAAGAAGUUCAUUGAGACCAGGACAGAGGCCUCCAGGUGUCAGGUUCGUCCUCGACAUUGUUCAUGAUGGCUGAGAUGUCAUCCAUGAUCACAGAGACAUGGUCCACGAUCUGAGAGACAUUGUCGAAGAUGAGGGAUGAGUCUGUGAUCACAGAGACGUAGUCACCAUCAGAGUCUUCAUACAAUGAAGAUGUUCUUUGAGACCAGGACUGAGGCCUCCAGGAGAAGAAGACAACCACAGCUGAAGACCUGAAGUGGAUGAAAGAAACAAGUUAAAAGUGUUACGAAGCUGUUAAUUCGAUAAAAGACCUCCACCAUCUAAAUGCUGGUAAACAGUGUUUCCUGUUCAAGUGAAAACACUUUGUUUUUCUCCACCAUCUGUAAGGUAGUCAUGGGCAAUUUUCCAAAGACUAAUAUGUCUUUACUAAACACCUGUGAGAACAUUCAACUGCUUAUGAUACGACUAAUUAAUAAUUGUAUCAUAAGCAGUUAAAUGAUCACAAAGAUGCCUAAUAAACAUGUUCAUCUUUGGAAAAUGUGCUCAUAACUACAUUAACCCUAAUCAGCUCUAACAAGUGUUUAAUUAUAGUCAAAUGUCUGUCAUUAUCUUUGCUGUGAUUUGUUAAAUGUUGUCUGGAAUAAAAUCAGUAAAGGUUUCUUCCUAAACUUUUGAGUUGCAUUUCUCUGUUUUGAAACUGAUGUUAUACAAAUCAUUUUCAUUGCAUUUUAUUUUAAGAAAAAUGUUAGGAUUCUCAUGUUGUAAUUUUUUUUUAACCCAUUUUUAAGCAUUUUGAAAAUAUUCGUAUAUUUUUUCUAAUGUUUUAUUUGUUAUGGUUUUAUUUACUUUUAACUUUUAACAGGUUACACUCAUUAUUCAGAUAUAUAUUUUAAGGGUUUUUAAUUAAUUUUUAAAUCAUUUCAUACUCAUGUUAGGGUUAGGUU